GCCUGAGAUGGCACGGCACGACCCUGGCUGCGGGAGGGAGUCCCGCCCCCUCAGAGCCUCCUUGCGUGUUGUGGAGAUACCUUAUGCGAUCUUUGGAACCUGUCAUACCCGAAGGAUAUGAGAUUUGCUAGACUUUCCCAUA
rnacentral:lncRNA from 1 species